rnacentral:lncRNA from 1 species
UAUCCACUCUAUGCUACUGGCAUGGCUUGCUCACAGUGAUGGUGCUCAUGGCUUUUUCUUCCUGAACUGCUUUGUGUUACAGACUGAGAUCUUGUACCUUCUCUCAAAAACUGGCCAUCUACCUACCUGUGUAUCGUCUACCUAUCCAUCCGUCAUUCUAUCUAUAAAUUUAACAGGAAGACGCAUGCCAGAUGGUGCCAAGAGAGGACUGUUGUUUUGGAAAAUAGCUCUGGUGCAGGUUCUAAGUGCAAUAUCAAUAGAGGCACGGAAAAGAUAAUUAAAAAGACCUAAAGUUGAUCUCUUCAAAGUAUCAAGAAGAAAUAACAAAGCAUAUGGAACAGAGAUGAUGAAAAGAUAAUGGAGCGAAAUCUUCUGUGAGUGACCAAAACCUAUCCACAGAUGUAGGAGACCUAAUAAAGCUCAUGCAGGAAAAACCAAAAGAAAUCUACAUGUCUAUAGUGAAAAUGUAGCCCAAAUCCACUUUUGAGAGAGAAAAACAUGGAUUCUCUGCAAAGGAAUGAUAAGUGUACUAAGAACAAUUUUCUCAACAGUGCAACAAGCAAAUAGAAAGCAUUUCUCACUUGAUAAUAUUCAUCGACAAAACUACUUUUUCAAGAAUUAAGACAGAAUGAAAACUUUUAGUAAAAUAACAACAAAAAACUGGGGAAAUUGAAUCCUAACAGAAUUCAGUACUACUUAAAGUACAGGUAGCUCCGAGACAGGCUGAAUGGCUUACUGAAGGAUGUUAGCUGACAGAUUGUUCUUUAGUUAAAAAGUCUUGCUGUGAAAAACAUGUCAGCUGCAAUAAACAGAGUCCUUAAAGAUGUAACUGAUUAUCUCUUAAAUGAAAUAAAUAGGAUGCACAUGUGUAAAUACUGAAUUGCCUCUCUGGUAUAAGAAACUGAAAGUAAAUAAGGACCAAAAUGUAUAAAGAUAAUGUGAAAUAGGAAGAAAAGGUUCAAAGGGGAAGGGAAACUGAGGGGGGAAGAAAGAAGAAAAAGAAAAACAUGAGAAAAGAAAGGAAAAAUGGAAACAAAGCUUUUGUAAAUAGGGAGAGGCAGAGGGUGGAAGGGAGAGGAGAAUGGGAAAAAAACAAGAACUAAGAUACAUCAUGUACAGGUACAAAUUCCCAAUGACGACUGUGAUCAUAAUGUAUACUUAAAUGUACCAAUAAACAAUUUAAAAAAAAAAAGAUGUAACGGAUUUGCACUCUGGAUCAAUCUCAUUACCAAAUGAUGAGCAGUAAAUAAUGGUUUCAAUAUGAAGACCAAUCUGUGGACCACACGUUGAAUAGCAAUGUUUAAAAGGAAGUACUACAGAAAAAAAAUGCCAAAAAACUUUGAGAUGGAAAACUAGUGGUGAGAAGAAAAGAUGACACACAACGAAAUCUAAAACUGUAAGGACCAAGUUUUCAGGUCAAGGUGGGCUCCCUUUGUGCUCUGUGCCCACUUCUGUGUUCUUUGCUCAGAACAGAGAGCUACAGAGAGCUAUAAAAAUUCCAUUCUGUAAUUCCAUUCUGUAUGACAACCUCCACCCUAUUUUUGUUCCUCUUUCUCUACCCGAUAGUUGCUUAAGAUAGUUAGAAAAUCAUAUGUUUAAUCGCAUGCUUUGUUAAAUAUAAUAAUUGAUUAAUCAAAUGUUCUUUAGGAAAAGGAACUUGACCUUUUAAAUCUCUCCUCCCUUAAUUUCCAGUAAGUACCCUCCUAUUCCAGUGAGUACACCAAUAAUAUCCAACAGUAAUCAAAAGAUAAAAAUAGCAUCAAUAAAAAGGGAAAGCCUCACCAACCCUAUAUAAUCAUGCUUCAAAAAUGGGUCUGGACUCUCGUUUUCUGAUCCACUCAGUCGGUAAAGUACGAGGGUCCAGGCUUGAGCUUGUCAUAAACUCCUCAUGUAAUUACAUCGGACUCGACUCCUCGGUGGCCUUUGGGGACUUCGCAACUUGGGCACAACAAAACUAGUGAUAAGUAUACUUCAAGAAAACUGAUCUUUGAAAUUGGAAACAAUACAGUAGUCUGGACAGGGAUAUCAGAAUGAAAACAUUACAGUGUGAUGGGGCAGCAGUGUUAGAGGGGGAAAUAAGCUACAUUAUGUGGGUAUGCAUAUCUGUUAAAAUAAAACCCAUUAAUCUGUAUAAGCAAUAAAAAAGAUCUUAAAAGGUGCAGACAUAUUGACUACUCUUUAAACUUUUUAAAACUAAAUAUGCAUGCUAAAAUUCUUAGCAAUACCAGAAGAUACAGAGAAAAAAAAUCCAAUUAAGUAAGGGUGAAAGUAGAAUGAAAGAACAAACACAACAAAGCAGUCCUCAAACUAUGAAAAUUAGGAAAAUCGGGGCAAACUGGAGAAAUGUGGAAAAGUAGGACAAUUAGGAAAAGUAGGAAAAAAGUAUGGAAAAAUGAAUUCAAACUUAUCAGUGAUCACAAGAUUGGCCCAAGUUCUCUACUGAAAAGACUUCAAUCAUAGGAACGCAGAAAACUUGAACUCAAAGGGUGGGCAAAUAUCACACUCCAUGCUGUGGAUGUAAACUAUUUUUGUUUGUCAAUUAUACAUCAAUAAAGCUAGACAAUUUAUUUUAAAAUUUAAAACAAAUAUAUCUGACAAAAGUAACCUAUCCUUUAGGAAAAGCUAUUAAAGUAGUAAUAUAUGCAACUAAUAAAGCUGUAAGCC